rnacentral:rRNA from 1 species
CCUACGGUGGCUGCAGUGGGGAAUAUUGCACAAUGGGCGCAAGCCUGAUGCAGCCAUGCCGCGUGUGUGAAGAAGGCCUUCGGGUUGUAAAGCACUUUCAGCGGGGAGGAAGGCGGUGAGGUUAAUAACCUCAUCGAUUGACGUUACCCGCAGAAGAAGCACCGGCUAACUCCGUGCCAGCAGCCGCGGUAAUACGGAGGGUGCAAGCGUUAAUCGGAAUUACUGGGCGUAAAGCGCACGCAGGCGGUCUGUCAAGUCGGAUGUGAAAUCCCCGGGCUCAACCUGGGAACUGCAUUCGAAACUGGCAGGCUAGAGGCUUGUAGAGGGGGGUAGAAUUCCAGGUGUAGCGGUGAAAUGCGUAGAGAUCUGGAGGAAUACCGGUGGCGAAGGCGGCCCCCUGGACAAAGACUGACGCUCAGGUGCGAAAGCGUGGGGAGCAAACAGGAUUAGAUACCCCGGUAGUC